UGCGCCGGCCGCUCUCCCACGCGGGGUCUCGGGGGCUCCCGAGCCGGCCGCCUCCAGGAAGCAGGCGCCGCGCGGUAUUGCCGCAUGCACCUCGGUCGUGGGGACCCCGCUGCAGCAGCCCUGUCCACACGGGUGAACUCCUGGAGGGCGGGGCGGGGGGCAAUCUGCGCGGGUCAGGCCCCUCGGAGCAGGCUGGGGGCGCCUGAGCCAGGCCGCUCCCACCUGCCAGCCGCGCGGCCAAUGAAUGCUAGGCCUGGUGAUGUCAUGCCCCGACCGGACCCUGGUGACGAAAGUCCGAAGUCACCCGUCAGGGAACCAGCACAGACCCACCCGCGGGGGUUCCAGAAGUUUCCACUGCCGCCGCGGAGUGCGGCCUCGCCCAGCAGCCUUGCGCGUGCUACCACGCUGUCCUGCCUUCUCAGCCUCGAGCGAGACCGACAGGGUGUCCAAGUGUGUCCGUCCGUCUGUGAAAGUCGUCCC
rnacentral:sRNA from 1 species